CGAUCAAAAGUGAUCCAUCCAUUCGGACGUUGUCCUCAUUUUGACAAAUCUCUCGUCACUCCAAUGGCCAAAUUUUUCAAAUUAUUUUUCACUCAAUGAGUUGAUCAGAUCCGUCAGGUAUGGUAUAGUGCUUCCCUAGAGGAUUGCAUUUUCAUGCUAGGCCUACCCUUGGCAUAAAAAGGGUUCCCCCAUAGGACAUGCAUACCGAUUUUUUUUAUUCUUACUUACUGACUCUGGGUAUUUUUCUUUUUGUUUUCCCCUCCCCCUGCAUUUAUAAAAAUGUUUCAAUAAGGCGAGAAUAUUC
rnacentral:lncRNA from 1 species